rnacentral:tRNA from 9 species
GCCGGCUUAGCUCAGUUGGUAGAGCAGUGGUUUUGUAAACCGAAGGUCGGGGGUUCGAGUCCCUCAGCCGGCACCA